rnacentral:lncRNA from 1 species
CCACCGCACAACAGUAGUAACGACAAAUCCACACCGAAAAGUCGAAUACUAAAUACAAACAUCAACAAACUCCUAUUGAGUUUCUGAGAAUUAUUAGACUAAAAUAAACACAUAAACAAAGACACCACACCACAUCUUCUCCAGCACAUCAAAGAGACUCGUAGCAGCAACAUGACAAAACCUCUUAUUUUGCACAGGCAAAAGCUGAUCCCACACAAACCGGCAAUAAUCACUUCUCCAACUCCAAACACUGAAUUGGAGCAAAAUCCCUGUGAGUGGACCAAAAGCUGCAACAAAAUCAUGGCGUCUACAGUGGAUUGCAGUAAUUGCUUCAAAAACACAACGAAAACCAAAGAAAAAAACUGGGUCAACAACACCAUACUGUGGCCAUAGGCAAUGGCGAAGCCAAGAUUUCAUGUGUGUGGGGGCCUCUUACAUAUUAUAAAUAAUCAAAACUACGAACUCACAAUACAUACGAA